ensembl:lncRNA
CAACUGUGAUGUUUAUCUCAAUGUGGAAAAUGUUUUGGUGCAUUUAUAGUUAAUUUAAGGAGAACUAACUUUACACAUUUACAGUAAUGAAAAGGAAAUGUGAAGUUAGUUCUGAGAAAAUUUCCUACAGCAUAUGCUUGCAGAUAUUUUGUCCAAAAAUGGCCACCUGUAUACUGAAUCAGACUGCAGAGGCAAAAAAGUAAUUGAAAUGCUUUAAUACCUUCGAUUCUUUAGGGGGAAAACUUUCAGGGCUCUGCUCUCAUCUUCUCAUCUUCCCUCCCAGGUUCUCUUUGAACACCCUUAUAUUUACUUUCUCUCUCUCCUGCCUUGUAUACUUGCAGCCUCUGUUCCUGUAAGUCUUAUCAAUGGGUUUUGGGUUUCUGAACAUAAUCUCUCAAUGGAAUGCAUUGUGGAGUCUGCCUGUGGAUUCAGGAUAAAUGUACUAUGAAAAAGAGUCUGCAAGCCAACCUGAUCAUCUCCAUCUUCUCUCUGGCCAUGUUGGACAUUCCUGAUGACUACAAACUGGAGCAGUAAUAGAAACCGUGUUUUUGACACUUAAAACAUGUACAAAUGUAAUUCCACAUUAUCUGCUCUGUGUCACUGAUAUUCUUGGUUUUGUUUUAAAUGGCUGACAAGCAGAUCAGGUGAGUUUUCUUUAGAGGGAAAUGGCUAAUACUCACUUUAGAGUAAAAAUAUAGUACCUUAGAACGAAAACAUAAACUACACAAAAGCAAGAUAGUAUUUUAACAUUAAAUAUGUAAUCCACUUUACCUUUAAUGUGAUUUCUUGUAUUGAUGUAACAAACCUCAGAACUCAGAUGCAUUUGUGUUCAAGUUCUUUAAUUUACUUCUGUAAUGUAUGUUUCAGGCCAUUGGCACUUGAUUUGAGUCUUUUGAAUUAUUUUCCAUGACAAUAUAUUCUUUUUUUUUUCGAAUAUUAUUUAAUUAAUUUUGUUCAAUUAACCCCAUAAAGCCCGCUCUAUCUAUCUAAGGCCUCUAAAUUAUCAACAUGUUCAAAACAAUUCUUAAAAAACCCUGUUGUACACAAUCUACUACAUGCCUUCUUUCAAGACUGAUAUAGGUUAUAGCAGGUAAAAGGUCUCUUAGUGUAACUGUACAAACGUCCACUUUCAGCUCUCUUUUUGCUGUGAAAUCUUUACUGAUUUUUAAAAAUGUAAUCUUAAGUAUUACUUUUAUGUUAGUAAUAUUUCAAAAUGAAUACUUGACGGAUGCAACUGACAUUUACUUGUUUAUCUAUACAUCAUUUUUUUUUGGUAAAAAAUCCUGUUAAAAUGUGAGUAUUCAUCAGGUUUUUGAGGAAUGUUAAUUUGUUCAUCUCGCAGUCAUUGUAUUUUAUUGCAUUACAUGUUUUACCCCCACAAUAAAUACUACAGAGCUUACUAAGACA